rnacentral:rRNA from 1 species
UGCUUUCACAUGCAAGUCGUACGAGAGUUUUUAAUUCAAGUGGCGGACGGGUGAGUAACACGUAAGAAUUUGCCUCUAGGAGGGGGACAACAACUGGAAACGGUUGCUAAUACCCCAUAUGCUUCCGAGUGAAAUGGAAUUUUCCGCCUAGAGAGAAGCUUGCGGCUGAUUAGCUUGUUGGUAAGGUAAUGGCUUACCAAGGCGACGAUCAGUAUCUGGUUUGAGAGGACGAUCAGACACACUGGAACUGAGACACGGUCCAGACUCCUACGGGAGGCAGCAGUGGGGAAUUUUCCGCAAUGGGCGAAAGCCUGACGGAGCAAUACCGCGUGAGGGAUGACGGCCUAUGGGUUGUAAACCUCUUUUUUCAGGGAGGAAUAAAAUGACGUGUACCUGAAGAAUAAGCAUCGGCUAACUCCGUGCCAGCAGCCGCGGUAAGACGGAGGAUGCAAGUGUUAUCCGGAAUCACUGGGCGUAAAGCGUCUGUAGGUGGUUUGAUAAGUCAGCUGUUAAAUCUUGAGGCUCAACCUCAAAACCGCAGUCGAAACUAUUAGACUAGAGUAUAGUAGGGGUAAAGGGAAUCUCCAGUGGAGCGGUGAAAUGCGUAGAGAUUGGAAAGAACACCGAUGGCGAAGGCACUUUACUGGGCUAUUACUGACACUCAGAGACGAAAGCUAGGGUAGCAAAUGGGAUUAGAUACCCCAGUAGUCCUAGCCGUAAACAAUGGAUACUAGAUGUUGAACAGAUCGACCUGUGCAGUAUUAAAGCUAACGCGUUAAGUAUCCCGCCUGGGAAGUAUGCUCCCAA